UCCUACGGGAGGCAGCAGUGGGGAAUAUUGCACAAUGGGGGAAACCCUGAUGCAGCAACGCCGCGUGAAGGAAGAAGUAUUUCGGUAUGUAAACUUCUAUCGACAGGGAAGAAAGAAAUGACGGUACCUGAAUAAGAAGCACCGGCUAAAUACGUGCCAGCAGCCGCGGUAAUACGUAUGGUGCAAGCGUUAUCCGGAUUUACUGGGUGUAAAGGGUGAGUAGGCGGUCAAGCAAGUCAUAAGUUAAAAUGCGGGGCUCAACCCCGUAGUGCUUAAGAAACUGUUUGACUAGAGUGCAGGAGAGGCAAGCGGAAUUCCCAGUGUAGCGGUGAAAUGCGUAGAUAUUGGGAAGAACACCGGUGGCGAAGGCGGCUUGCUGGACUGUAACUGACGCUCAGUCACGAAAGCGUGGGGAGCAAACAGGAUUAGAUACCCUGGUAGUCC
rnacentral:rRNA from 1 species